AAUCAGAUUUUUUUUGAUUGGAUCGAAAGUGAUUCCAUGUUUCACAUGUUGACAGGAACCUGUGGAUUUGGUUCUUACACCGUUGGUCCACGGAAUCGUUUUCUGUGAUUACACUU